UUCUUUUAUCGUGUGGUUUAUUUUUUAGAUUUCAUGUAACUUUUAACAAUGAAUAUCAACGAUUUACCUGAUGAUUAAUUACUUUUGAUUUUUGAUCACUUUUAUCAAUUGCGACAAUUUGCUACAUUUAUGGAAGUUUGUCGUCGCUGGAAGAUAUUAGCGGAAAAGAGACUGAGGAAGAUCACUCACUUUCAUGUUACAUUGGCCACUCGAUUAAGGCGGAUUGCAACAAAAUCAUCUUCUAUUAGCUCAUAAAUGUAUCAUCACAAUAAGCAGAAAGUUCUUGAUGAAAAUUAAACUCUCUAAACUUUUUCCUAAUGUUAAGGUAAAAAAAAAGUUUUAUUAAACGAAACUCUCUCUCAGUCUCUCAGUAUCAACAUAAAUAAUAAUAAAGAUAAAAUCAACCACCGACUAAUCAACUUUCCUAAGGUUCACUUUUAAAUUGUUCAUUUAAAUUGUUAUCAAGUAUAUUCACCAAUCUUGAUAAAAGAGAUUCACUUCGAGUGGUUUUAUUUAAUCUAAUUAAUGAUCAAAAAUCAAUAAGUGAUCAUGAUGAUGAUAAAGAAAGAUUUUUCGAUAAAAGUAAAAUUAAUUUCAUUGAAGAUC